rnacentral:tRNA from 1 species
AGGCUUGUAGCUCAGUUGGUUAGAGCACACCCCUGAUAAGGGUGAGGUCGGUGGUUCAAAUCCACUCAGGCCUA